GACCGGAUGCCGAUCUCGAAAACCUGUCCCAGUUCGGACUGGAGUCUGCAACCCGACUCCACGAAGUUGGAUUCGCUAGUAAUCGCGCAUCAGCCAUGGCGCGGUGAAUACGUUCCCGGGCCUUGUACACACCGCCCGUCAAGCCAUGGGAGCCGGGGGCGCCUGAAGUCCGGGACCGCGAGGACCGGCCUAGGGCGAAACUGGUGACUGGGGCUAAGUCGUAACAAGGUACC
rnacentral:rRNA from 1 species